GAGCCUGCGCUGCUGGCAGGCGGAGAAGGAAAGAGGAAGAGUGAAGUCAGGGCAGGCUCCAGGCCCUUGACUCUGGGUCCCUGAUGCCCCUUCCUCUCCUCGGCACUCAGUCUCUGGAGGGCAGGUGGGUCCGGUGACAGCAGUGACCUUCAGGGAGCCCUGAAGACCAUGGAGGCCUCCUGACCAACAACCUCUGACCUUCACCGCUUCGGAUGGGGGAGAAUCACUAGGAAGAGGGGAACAAUGGGAAGGAGACAAAAUGGCUGCCUCCAGAGUCGCAGCAAGAUUUGGAAACAUGCUUGUUCCCUGGGGACCUCCACUGUCUCCCCACCUUGGGGACGUGCAAGAAAUAAAGUGUGAAGAAGAAUGUGUGGAUUGA